AUAAUAUACUGAGCUGGACCGAUCAACAUGCCGUGGGCGUUUUCUUCUUUGAGUUAUUGUGUGAAGUGUGUGCGCUUGGUGGUAUUCUUUCGCGUGAUUCUGUAACCGACUUUACUUGGUGAGAUAUAGCAUCUUGUUACUUCCUAAUUCUGUAUCUACUUCUUGAUGCAAGUCCCAAGUUUUAUUUGUAAAUAUGUAAAUAUUUCGGUUGAACUAUUUCUGCUGAAGAUUUACUGAAGAGAACAGUAAUAUAAAAUAUAUAGGAAAACUGACUACGACUCAAAAAUUAUAGAGGAAGAUAAUUUGAGUUGGUUUGGCAUUAGAGAAAUGGAAGGACUCAAAAAUUAUAGAGGAAGGUUUGGCAUUAGAGAAAUGGAAAUUAAAA
rnacentral:lncRNA from 1 species